rnacentral:snRNA from 1 species
AUAUUUCCCUGGCAGGGGAGACACCAUGAUCACAAAGAUCAUCUUCCCAGGGCGAGGCUGAUCCAUUGCACUCCAGAUGGGCUGACCCCUGUGAUUUCCCCAAAUGUGAGGAACUCAACUGCAUAACUUGUGGUAGUUGGAAACUGUGUUUGCUUUCUUCCCU